UACGUAGGUGGCAAGCGUUGUCCGGAUUUACUGGGCAUAAAGGCUGCGUAGGCGGAUAUUUAAGUCAGAUGUGAAAUUCCCGGGCUCAACUUGGGAGCUGCAUUUGAAACUGGAUAUCUAGAGUGCGGGAGAGGUGAGUGGAACUCCGAGUGUAGAGGUGAAAUUCGUAGAUAUUCGGAAGAACACCAGUGGCGAAGGCGGCUCACUGGCCCGGUACUGACGCUGAGGUGCGAAAGCGUGGGGAGCAAACAGG
rnacentral:rRNA from 1 species